AGAGUUUGAUCAUGGCUCAGAUUGAACGCUGGCGGCAGGCCUAACACAUGCAAGUCGAGCGGAUGAGUGGAGCUUGCUCCAUGAUUCAGCGGCGGACGGGUGAGUAAUGCCUAGGAAUCUGCCUGGUAGUGGGGGACAACGUUUCGAAAGGAACGCUAAUACCGCAUACGUCCUACGGGAGAAAGUGGGGGAUCUUCGGACCUCACGCUAUCAGAUGAGCCUAGGUCGGAUUAGCUAGUUGGUGAGGUAAAGGCUCACCAAGGCGACGAUCCGUAACUGGUCUGAGAGGAUGAUCAGUCACACUGGAACUGAGACACGGUCCAGACUCCUACGGGAGGCAGCAGUGGGGAAUAUUGGACAAUGGGCGAAAGCCUGAUCCAGCCAUGCCGCGUGUGUGAAGAAGGUCUUCGGAUUGUAAAGCACUUUAAGUUGGGAGGAAGGGCAGUAAGUUAAUACCUUGCUGUUUUGACGUUACCAACAGAAUAAGCACCGGCUAACUUCGUGCCAGCAGCCGCGGUAAUACGAAGGGUGCAAGCGUUAAUCGGAAUUACUGGGCGUAAAGCGCGCGUAGGUGGUUCGUUAAGUUGGAUGUGAAAGCCCCGGGCUCAACCUGGGAACUGCAUCCAAAACUGGCGAGCUAGAGUAUGGCAGAGGGUGGUGGAAUUUCCUGUGUAGCGGUGAAAUGCGUAGAUAUAGGAAGGAACACCAGUGGCGAAGGCGACCACCUGGGCUAAUACUGACAC
rnacentral:rRNA from 1 species